rnacentral:tRNA from 1 species
GGUCCGUUAGUCAAGCGGUCAAGACGCUGCCCUCUCACGGCAGAAACACGGGUUCGAUUCCCGUACGGACUG